rnacentral:rRNA from 1 species
GAUGAACGCUGGCGGCGUGCUUAACACAUGCAAGUCGAACGAAGCACUUUAUUUGAUUUCCUUCGGGACUGAUUAUUUUGUGACUGAGUGGCGGACGGGUGAGUAACGCGUGGGUAACCUGCCUUGUACAGGGGGAUAACAGUUGGAAACGGCUGCUAAUACCGCAUAAGCGCCCAGCAUCGCAUGAUGCAGUGUGAAAAACUCCGGUGGUAUAAGAUGGACCCGCGUUGGAUUAGCUAGUUGGUGAGGUAACGGCCCACCAAGGCGACGAUCCAUAGCCGACCUGAUAGGGUGACCGGCCACAUUGGGACUGAGACACGGCCCAAACUCCUACGGGAGGCAGCAGUGGGGAAUAUUGCACAAUGGGCGAAAGCCUGAUGCAGCGACGCCGCGUGAGCGAAGAAGUAUUUCGGUAUGUAAAGCUCUAUCAGCAGGGAAGAUAAUGACGUUACCUGACUAAGAAGCACCGGCUAAAUACGUG